ensembl:rRNA 5S_rRNA 5S ribosomal RNA
AUCUAAGGCCAUACCACCCUGAACGCACCCGAUCUCGUCUGGUCUCAGAAGCUAAGCAGGGUCGGGCCUGGUUAGUACUGGGAUGGGAGAAGCCCCUGUGUCCCAUACU